CCAGGAUCUGAACUGGUGAACCCUGGGCCGUGGAAGCGGAACGUGCACACUUAACCACUGUGCCACUGUGCCAGCACCUUGCACCUUUUUCAAUUCCCCAAGCCCCAUAGUCCAGACCUUGGCUGUUUUUCUCCUGCUUACAAUUGACCUAGUCAGACAGAUUCUGGGGUGAGUGGACCUAUGGCUCCUAAGGCUGACGGGACGGACAUGUGGCCACCCACUAGUAUGUGGUUCCUGGUGGUGGAGGUCCUGUUGAAUUGGGCUCCUGCAGAAGGAUGGGAGUCUGUGGAUGGUACCCUAGUCAGCACUGAGACGGCUCUGCAUAGCCUAGGGGAGCAGGUCCCAGAGAAGGCCCAGCCUGCCAUGGGGCCGGCUGGCUGUUUUUGACAGCGUUAUGCCGCAACAUGGAUUCUGCCCUGCAGUAUGCAACCUGCAUACAGGAACUCCAAGCCAAGGAGCAUGCCUUGGAGGUGCGGGUGUGGCAGUUGGAACUGGAGCUGGAAAUGGUGCCUCGCAGUGAGACAGCGGAGGACACUGAGGUUGGGGACUGCCGAGGAUGGGGACGUGGAGGAAACGUGCCCUCUCCAUGCUUGGCCAGUAAUCCAGCAAAAGAUCUACAGCAGGCUCCUGAUUCCCUGUGGAAGCAUCUGGCAACGUGGCUGGGCAGCCAAUGAUGCCAAAGUCCGGGGACCUGGCUUAUCUGUCAAAUUCUUGGGGGCUGUCUGGUCAGACGGAGAGUGGUGAACAGUGUUGUGGAAUGGGCACACACCUAGCUGAGGUGACCAACAUAUCUAUCUGCUGGGUGUGCACAGAACUGCCCACCAGCACUGCAGAAGGCUCCCUGUGACACAUCCACCCUGCUUCAGAAGGGAACCGGACCUGGCUGUGUUCCUGAGGACUUGCUGAUGCUCAGUGGGACCAAAGAAGGCACCAGGUGGACCAGUAGCUGUGCUGACAACAUGGAGGAAAAUGGCCCUGGGUGACCCCGAGCCUCUGGGAUGACUAUGGGUGGUUAUGCGGGGAGGCUGUUGUGCUCUGCGUGUCUGUGCCCCCGUGCAUAGAGCAACAGAAGGGGGAUGUGAUAGCGGGAUAGGUACCCAAGGAGCUGUGUCAGAAGAUCCAGGGAGUGACCCAGCCCAAGUAUUGGUGGAAUGCCCAUCCCUAUGUAGGGACAGUCCCCAUGGACAGAGUGCCCACGGGCAGUCUCUGGGUCUGUGGUAGUUAUGAAUGGCCUUAUCUCCUGGCCAACUGGACAGGGUGAUGCCCUUGGGGGUGGCCCUACCUUGCAGCUGCUGUUCGGAGAACUUUGGAUGUGCGACCCAGCAAUUGGAAGAGGGUAAAAGGGCGCUGUCACUGGGAGAAAUGAAUGCCCUGGUGGAUUUACCUCCUGGCUGUUCUUAGUCUGUCCGCGGGGGCUAUUGCUAUGGAGUGGCAGGUUACUGCCUUGACAGAGCAUAACGCCCGAGCCCUCAGUCAUACAGCCUGGGCCCUGUCUCUCUUAACUGAUGGAGUAGACCAGACCCGGAAGGUCGUGCUGCAGAACCGCAUGGCUCUAGACAUCCUUACUGCAGCACAAAGGGGGACCUGUGCAGUUACUGAGGUGCAAUGUUGCACGUUUAUACAAGAUAGUGCAAGGAACAUAUCGCAAGCCUUGCGACAGGCUAGGCACAAGAUCUCGUGGAUCCAGACGUUGACAGGAGACCCCCUGCAGGAACAGUGAUCUAAGUUGUCCUCCUCGUGGCGGUGGGCUCUGACCACAGUAGGAGGUAUAUCCUGUCUCCUGAUGGUCAUUUGCUGUUCUCUGUAUUGCUGUUGUGGAAUGUAGGUCCAAGGCAUUGGGCUGUGUGCCCCUGCCUCCUGCAAACUCCCCCCACUGCUGAGGUCUGAUGGGGGUGGAGGGAAGGGAAAUGGAGAUAGUGUGGACAAUCAGACCGGAGCAGCUUCCGGGCAUCUGUGACUCAGCAUGUCCCCUGCAGGCAGUGCAUGUGCCAACCAUGUAUGCAGACACCUUAUGUAACCUGCAUAAUGUAAACAUUGUCUGCUGGCUGUAUGCCACUUUUGUCUAGUAGUCAUUUAAAAGUGGCCACAAGGGGAGCUGCUGCGCUCUCACCAUCUGUCUGCCAGAGCGCAUAAAGAUUGUGUUUGCCUUGCCACAGACAGCUUGCACUUUUUUUCAAUUCCCCAAGCCCCGUGGUCCAGUCCUCAGCUGUUUCUCUUCUGCAUACAGUGGCUCAGACCUGGAGGGCCAUGCCUAUCUUUUCCCAGUUGAGCUGGAGCAUCUCGAGUCCAUUGAGGCAGAGUGGAGCCAGAUCCAGAGCUCCUGCCACUUCCAGAGCCAGAGCAAGGGCCAGCUCCUGGGCUAGAGACAGGUCCAGCUCAAGUCCCACCACCUGUGGGAGAGCUGGAGCCAGCAUCACCUGCGUCGGCCCUUCCAGGACUGGAGUUAGGUCCACCAUUAACUUCAGCCCCAGAGCCAGCUCCUUUGCUGGAGCCAACUGGACUCUGGGCUCUAGUGACAUUUCCAGUUCCAUCUGCACAAAUAACGAUCAUGCUGGAUCCAGCCCCAGAACCCGCCUGGCCCUGGGCUGUGACCACCAAGAACCAGCUGAGGAAGGAGAUGCCAAACCUCUUGGACUUCCCUCCCCAGCUGGUGGCAGAACAGCUGACGAGGAUGGCUGCGGUGAGCAGCGGGGCUGGCAGUGGGGGUGGGCCCUGCUGCCAUGUGCCUGAGCUGCCCCACACCUGCCAUUCCCUGAUCUGGAAUCCGAUGAUCUGGGUUCAAAUACAUGCUCCCUCCCUCACCAACACUGUGACCUGGGCAGCUUUCUUUACCCCCAAGCACUCGCUGUCCCCACGGGGACAGUAGAGAUGGAAACUAAGAGCACCUGCUGCACAGGGUGGAGGCGGAACAGAAGAAGCUGGGCAGAGUCUGGCCCUUUGGUGGGGGAGGGGAGCUCACUGAAGUGCUGCCAGGUCCUUGGGUAGAUCCCCCAUCUGCCCAGGUGGCCUCAACAGUCUUAGCACUCAUUAGGCGUGUGAUGCGAAUUGACUCCAGGGGAGACAAAAAGCCAAAGCUGGUGGCUGUCCCUGCCUGACUGAACACUCAGCACAGGGCUGGAGCACAGA